rnacentral:rRNA from 1 species
UACGUAGGGGCCUAGCGUUGUCCGGAUUUAUUGGGCGUAAAGAGCUCGUAGGCGGUCUGUCGCGUCGGGAGUGAAAACUCAGGGCUUAACCCUGAGCCUGCUUCCGAUACGGGCAGACUAGAGGUAUGCAGGGGAGAACGGAAUUCCUGGUGUAGCGGUGAAAUGCGCAGAUAUCAGGAGGAACACCGGUGGCGAAGGCGGGACUCUGGGCCGAUACUGACGCUGAGGAGCGAAAGCGUGGGGAGCAAACAGG